CGAGCAGGCUAGCGGGCCUUAGCGCCGGCCAAGAUGAACCCGGCGCAUGUAAACACGUGCAUGUGCAGGAGAACACAACGCGCAGAACUGAGCCAGCUGGGGGACAGACUGAGAUGAUUGCACUGGACAGCCACUGACAACCCAUGGGGCAUAUCAGCUGGGCUACCAUGCGUAAUCGCUCCGGCCGUCUGGGUAGGUGUAUGCAUUAUGUGUGUGUGUGUGUGUGUGAGUGUCACACCGCCACAUACACGGGGUCAUUCCCAUUCCCUGGGAGCCCCUUAGGAGCAUUGCAUUGAUUAGCAUCCUCAAGGGACACCACAAAUAGAAGCUUCCAGGAAGAGGAGAGGAGGAGGAGAUAGGACACACGAGGAGAGAGGAGGGACCAGGAAAGUAGGUGAGGAGUGAUGUGAUAAGAGGAGGGAUGAGGAGAGGACAGAGGAGCAGAGGAGUGGAAAGGAGUGAUCAGCUCGGUGAGAAAAUACUGGUGACGAGAUCAACAGCAGUCACUUACAAUCUAUCCUGAAGCGUGGCACACCGGGGCGCCAUGCAGCUAUGGAGGAAGCCCUAAUAACUUAAGCGAAAAGAUAUUGCAGUGUGUCUGCAAAGUUGGCAGAAAAAAAAGGCCCCUGGAAGCGGAGCCGGUGCUGCCAAAAUUCUUUGAUUCCUUUGAUUUUUUUUGUUGGACGCCGGUAUAGAUUCAAUGUAAAGCAGCUUAAGCAACAUUGUGAUGUAUUAUUCAUGGGAAGGUAAUAUAUGGAC
ensembl:lncRNA